rnacentral:lncRNA from 1 species
UGGGGGACAGAGCGAGACUCCGUCUCAAAAAAAAAAAAAGUUAUUGUUUUUAUAUUGUUAUUGUCCCUGGGAAUCUUUGCUAUCGGUGUACUGUGUACUUCCUGCCUACCUCUGAGUUUGUAAAGUAGGUAAAAGAGCAGAUGUGAUUGCUAAGAAUAUAGCAUUGACCUCUAUGUAAAAUUUAUAGGUUCUCACACAGAGUGCUGAGGCUUUUGAUCAGCAUCUUUGAAAGUAUUGCUUGUAUACAUUUCAAGUAAAAGAUCAUUCUAAUUAUUUCAUAGUCAUACUUUACAUGAAAGAGCUUUGUAAAUAAUUGGAAAAUCUUUAACAAGCUUUGAUUAAUAAUGCUGGCUUUAAUUUUAACUUCAUAUUAUUGUUUUCCAAAUGAUUUCCAUAAUAGAGACCAUGGUGGAUCUAAGCAUGAGAUUUUAAGUUCCUGCCUUUCAAAGGUGUGGCUAAAAACAAGGAGGAUAGAAAACACUGUGUGCUGUCAUGCCAAGCUCUCUGUGUAGGGACUUUAUCUUCACCAUUGCAUUUCAUCCUCAAAACAGCCCUGCAAGGUAAGUAUCUGUAUUUUAUAGAUGGGAAAAACUAAGAUUCAGAAAGUUUACAUAACUACAAAUCUGGUAAGAACUAGAGCCGAGAUCCAUUUCCUGCUCUGUCUUUUCUCACAGUUGUUGCUACAAGGCCACUGAGCUGACUCACCACCCCGGGAGUCAGUGAAGGCUUCCCCGAGGAAGCAGUGUUUGAGCUGAGCCUUGAAACAGAAGUAAGAAGACUCCAGGAGAAGGCUGCAGUAGAGGCUAGAGCUAUUUUUCCUGGCAACAGACCCAGAGAGAAGCUCAACACUUGGAGUAUGAAAGGAGAGUUGGAAAGAAAUCAACUGUGGAAUAACUGCUUCUGAAGACUGAAGUCCAAGAUCAAGGUGCCAGCAGAAUUGGUGUCUGGUGAGGUCUCUCUUCUUGUCUUGCAACUGGCUACCUUCUUGUAGUGUCCUCACACAGCUUUCUCUGUGUGCAAGCAGAGAGCAGGGUGGGGAGAGAGAGAAAGAGAGCAAGUUCUGGUGUCUCUUCCUUUCCAGUUCUGUUGGAUUAGAGUCCCACCCUUAUAUCCUCAUUCGACUUUAAUCACUUCCUUAAUGCCCUUAUCUCAAAAUACAGUCAAAUUGGGGGUUAAGAUUUCAUCAUAUGAAUUUUGGAGAGACACAGUUCAGUCCAUAGCAGCAUGGUAUAUCUUUUCCAUCCUUUUACAUAUAACUCAUUUUCUUUUAGUAUGUGAAGUGUUUUUCUUAUAGGAAGAGUAGAGUUGAAUUUUGCAUUUUUACCCAGUCCUAACAAUCUCAGUUGGGGGGUCAAAAUAAUAACAUUUAAUGUGAUUAUUGAUAUGCUAAGGUUUAAAUUUGUCACCUUGCUAUCUGCUUUCUAUUUAUUCCAAGUGUUAUUUGUUCUCCCUUUGUACUUUUUCUGCCUUCUUUUGGAUUAUUUUUAUUAACUCAUUUUAUCUUCUCUGUUGGUUUAUUAACUACAACUUUGAUGGAUACACACACACGCGCGCACACACACACACACACACACACACACACGUUAUUUUGACUCCCCCAGUUGAGAUUGUCAGGAUUGCAUAAAAAAGCAAAAUUCAACUCUAUUCUUCCUAUAAAAGAAAAAUACUUCCCAUACUAAAAAAAAAAAAAAUGGUUAAAUGUAAAAGGUUGGAAAAGGUACACCAUGCUGCUAUGGACUGAAUUGUGUCUCUCCAAAAUUCAUAUGGCAAAACCUUAACCCCCAAUUUGACUGUAUUUUGAGAUAAAGGGAUACAUUAAAAUACAUUUAAUCUCAAACAUAUUUUUUCAUUUCUAGAAGUUUGAUGUAUACAUUUUAAAUAUCUUUUAGUGUCUCUACUUAAGUUUUUGAACAUAUAUAGCUGUAAUAGCUGUUUUAAUAUCCUUGUUUGUUAAUUUUAACAUCUGCCUCAGGUUUGGUUUGGUUUCAGUUGAUUGUUUUCCCUUCAUUAUGGUCAUGUUUUACUGCUUCUUUGCCUUCCUGGUCAUUUUUUUAUUGUAUGCCAGACAUUGUAUAUUUUUUUCCUAUUGAGUGUUGAAUUUUUUUAUUUCUAUAAAUAUUCUUGAGCAGUUGAGUUGUUUGGAAACAGUUUGUGUUUGGGGAUCAAACCUUUAUGAUUUGUUAAUCAGGACCAGAGAAGUGUUUAGUUUAGGGCUAAUUAUGCUCCACUACUGAGGCAAGAUUUCUUUGAGUACUCUACCAAGUGAUUCAUGAAUUAGGAGAUUUUCUAGUCUGGCUGAUGAAAGUAAGCCCUUUUCCAGUCAUGUGUAAGAACUUGAUACUGUUCCCCUUAAUCCUGUGGGAUGGUUCUUUUCCUUAUCUGCGGUUGUUUCCUCUUAUGCAUGUGAUAAUCAGUAGUGUGAUGAAUACUUGAGAGGAUCCCUUUACAGAACUUGCCAUCAUAUUUUUCAUAGAGAAUAUCUUGCAUUAGCUGAUUGAAAUAUUUAUUCUUGAUUGGUACUUGGCAGUCCUGUUUACUACCUGUCCUGUAUAUGGAAUAUCACUGCCAACUUUAGCGGGGGGGGAUGGGACUGGGUGGGCAGUUCCUGCAAAAACUUCAAAUGACUAAUUAGAAAUGUCAGUGGCAUUUUCUCCCUCAGAAACAUCGCUGUUUAGGAUCGUGAAUUUUCUUUUACUCAUAUUUGAUUCGAUUAUCUUUCUUUCAAAGAAUUUUUCUAGAAUGAAUAUUUUACUUGUAUAUUAGGAAUAGUUUUUAAAUAAUCAGAACACAACUGCUCUCCUCAAUUAUCAUCAUUCUCAUUACUCAUUCCAUUUCUCUGGCUGGCAGCCUAUGGACCACUGGAAGGCCCGGCCAGGGGUGUGGUCAUCAGGACUUCCCAAAAGCACAUCUCCUUCCUCUGUGGCUUGACUGUGUGCCUCUCCUCUCGAGCUGCAACUGUACCAUGAGUCUCCCUUCCAGAUCAAAAGGAAGAUCCCGACCGCAGUCCUUUGGAAUAAGAUUUGCUAGUAUUCAAUGUUCUUUCUUGUGUCUCAACUCAUAUCCAUAUUUUCUUCUCAGAAUUCCAUAGGUUUAGCCCUUUGGGGGUUUUUACUUUUUUCUUCUUAUUUUUUAUACUGCCUGUUCCUACUUUAUGCUGUGUUUUACCCAUAUUUAUGUCAUUUUAAUCAGUUCCAUAAGACUGUGUUUGAACUCCCCACCUCCACUUGCUUUUGUUUUGGGUGAUGACUGUGCUGUCCACCUCUGCCACUUGUUUCAGGCCCUACUACUUUUUCCCUCCAAUGUUCCUUCUUUUGUGUCUGCCAUCUAUUAUUGCUGAAUACGUUAUUGUCGUUUUUGUCUUCUUAUUUUAUUUUCUCCUCUUCUUCCUUCAGUGGAUGUCUUGAGAUGUUCUUGCUUCUUAUGUUCCAUGUUUGCUGACAUAGGGCAAAACUAAGAAUCUGCGACAAGACAAGCUGCUUUUUCCUCUAUCAAAGCUGCCUUCAUCGGGCAGCUGUCCUUCAUUCUCAAUUACUUUAUCUACUCUUUUUUGCCUUUUUCACAUCCAACCUGUAAUCUAUAUUUUCCUUUCUUCAGCUAUAUCUUAAACUGUUAAAAUAGAGCCUGACAUGUAGUACACAUUCAGUAAAUAUCUGUUGAAUAAAAGAAAACAAUAAAUGAAUGAAUGGUUGUUUGGUAA